rnacentral:rRNA from 1 species
AUGCGCGGUCUCGCUGAUGAGCUAGCAGCGGCAGGAAAACCCAUCACAGAGAAUGAACUCGUCUCCCACAUCAUAUCCGGUCUUGACGUGGACUAUCAGCCAAUAAUCUCUGCACUUGAUGUGCGUCCUGAUGAUGUCACAGUCGAUGAGCUCUUCGGCAUGGUGGCCACUUUCGAUCAGAGGGUCGAGAUGUUCCAGGGCACGGGCGCUGGUGCCUUCAAAUCAUCAGCAAACACUGCAUCACGUGGCCGAGGAGGUGGCUCGGCCAAGGGCUAUCGC